CUUGCAGGAAUCGCUAGGUCCGGCUGCCACCUAGCGGACGGGAGCUGGCUCCCAGGCGGCAAGCAACCGAGUCCCUCCUCCCCUCCCUACAGGCAGCCAGUGUCUUUUCUCCAAAGGAAGACAGCACUUUGAAAAUUCUUUCAAUGGAUUUUUUUUCCUUGAAAGAUCGUACUGGGGGAAAACGAAAACGAUACUUCUAUUAGUUACAUAGUCUCCAAUCCCUCACUAGCACCCCCCAGGUUUUAAGAUCGCUCUCCUAGGCAGGCUCUGGCGGGCGCAGAACAGCGGUGACAAAGCCGCGGCUGCCACCGCCCGGAGUGGGAGUCCCUCUUGCCAGCCCACCCCAUUGACUCGUGAGAGCGUAAAAGUUUGUCUCUGCUCAAGCGUUCCAAGCGCCCCCAGGUAAAGGUGGAAGUAAUGGCCAAGCUGUAUUGAAGAGGUGGCUAUGGAUUUGCAUUGCGGGUUGCAGCAGAUGGGUGCAGUCAAGAGGAACCCCAGACUUGAUCUAUGGUCAUUGUUAUCUUCUAGUAUGACACUCUACUUUCCCACUGAACUCUUCCUGCGCAAACUGAGAAGCUUGGCUAUAAAUUGGUCUUUUAUUUUUAUAAUAGGCUGUUGUUGAGAAAGGAGCUUUGACAAUAGAAGUAAUGAACUAGCAGGUCCAUUUCUACUGUGGAAAGCAGCUGGAAACUCAUCCCUAUGGAUGGGCCAGAGGUGACGGACGACUCCAAGGAAACAGUGUCUUCCAGACACAGCAGGAUGGACAGGAUGGAUGAACUAAUGAACUCAGAGAUUGUGACAACAUACGUAAGACCUGCACAGACCUGCACAAGUUUAAACCAGACAAAAUCCCAGCACCAAGGAAGACAAAUGGACAUAAAGUUCCACCACUAACCAAGAAGCUAUUUACAGUUGAUGCCUACUGGGAGAGGGAAAAUUCAGCUUCUCUAGUGGAGCAUUAUUGGCUGUCUCAGUCACACUCCAGAUCAACUAAUCCCAAGUGGAAUUUCAGGGAAGAUCCUGUAAAAGUCCUCAUCUUCAAAUUCUUCAUCAUCCUAAGAAGUUUGGACUUCAUGCCGAGAGAAAAUAAAUGAUGGGUGAUACAAUUAUGUUUGCACUAUGAAAAGUGGAGUGCACAGCAUAAUACUGGAGACACGGACACAAAUUAGGUCCAUAGGUGAGAGAUGAAAAGAACUUGAGUUAAGGGAGAAAGUAGGAAUAGAGAGAAGUUGAGCUUUUUAAGAAACAGAAAAAUUGGGAUUUUAUGACUGCUUUGCUACAUGAAGAGUGUGAAUUAAGGUUGAUAGACAGACGAGACCAGGGCAGAGAGCCAUGUAGUGGUGCUUGCGUGAGGUGUGAGGACUGAGAAUGUAAAAGGAUGUGUCUGCCAGUUUGUAAGAGCAGGCAGCUGAUUGACUGGCAUACCGCACUUUCGUAGGUUCAUGUGGCAAGGAAAUCAUGGGUUCACAUAGAUUUAGUUUAUCACUCAAAGUGAAGUAGCUUUAUGAUCUUUGUGUUUUUAUGGGUUCCCGAAGACCUGUGAUACAGAGUGAUGCCCAUUUAUGUGAUAUGUUCUGUGCACAUCUGAUUUUCUAAGAGAUUACUAGCACCUUUAUGCAACCUUGUUCUGGAAGGUGACAGAGUCUUUGAGUCCUACUUUGGGAACAAAUGUAUCCUUUCCAGCGUGAUGCCAUUUCUGAGACACAUUUCAACAUCAUGCACCAUGCACUGGUUUCCAAUAGCAGUAUAGUGGUUUCAAUUCUUGAUAGAAUGAAUUUGAUAUUUCCAAUAAUAUCUAAAUAAAUAUUUUCAUAGAUGCUAAAAUGUUGAUAAUAAUAUUCAGAAUACUUUAUAGGAGUUAGGUAAAAAUAAAAUCAAUUAACUUUGGCUAUGUUAAAUGAUACCAUGACAUUCAUUGUUAAGAUAGUUAAAACAAUAUUAGUAUAUUAGAGUCAAUACUUGAUUCAUUAUGGACUGAAUUUGUCUAGCUUUCCUCUUGUGUUCUCACGAGCUCUAAUAAUCUGCUAGUGUUCCAAAGAAUCCAAUGCAAGAAACAGAAGAGUGUGUUGAGAUAAUAUGUACAACAUGCGAGAAACUGGCUUACAACUGUGAUGUCUGCCAGUGUCAGUCUCCAAUAGGAACAAAAUACAAGUGACAAAUGGGAGCCACAUAAAUCAUUAGAAACAUUCUGGAACCCAUGUUUUAAAACAGUAAAGAGAAAUAGGUAAAAUAAAUUUUAAUAAUAUAUCUUUAUUUAACCCACUAUGUAAAAAUAUUCUUUUAACACACUUCCAAUAUAAACACUUUGUGCUUUUUUAUUUUAAACAUUGAAAUAUCAUGGGCAUUACAUUCUUGUGAGAAGUUCCAAUUUGGGCUAGAUACAUUAAACACUCAGUCGCCUUAUGUGUCUACUGAUUACCAUACUGAACAGAGCAGAUCUAGACUUCAAGAACAGUGAACUAUAUUUCAUUAUAUUUGUGGGAUAUACAUUUUUUGUUUUGGAUGUUAAAAGGCUAAACAUUGUCACAUAUUUGAUCUUAUACAAUCUAAUUUUUUUAAUAUUUUGUCAG